GACCUUGUAGUUAACGCUUUUCCGGUUUGAGAAAAAAGAGGGAGAGACGGAGUAACGAGGCGGGGGAAUAGCGCUGAGCGGGUAGCCUUGGAUUAUGUAUGUGUUGGACGAUUUGUUGAGAGUGUGUGAGUCGGACUCCUUGCUGCAAUUAGGGUUUUGUGUGGACAUGAAACAAGUGGAUUAAGUUAGCUAGCAGGAACUGGGCGAGCCGCACAGCCAUCGUUAGCUAGCAGGAGCUAGGCUAGCGUACCUGUCAUCGUUAGCUAGCAGGGGCUAGGCUAGCGUCACGGUCCUCGUUAGCUAGCAGGGGCUAGGCUAGCAGCACGGUCAUUGAGGGCGGACAUCACCCGUUUCGCUGUUGCCGGGGGAGACAGAACCUCGUCGCUGCGAGCUGUUGCGGGCGGAGAUGAUUGCUGUCGAGACGGGGGAGCGACUCGUCACCGACGGCCUGGUCCUGCUGUCUUCACCGAUACGGGAGGUACUGUUAUAAAAGUAAAAAAAUAAAAAUAAAAAAUAUAAAAUUUUCUUCCAUGAGCUCCAACUAAACCGCGCCAACGAACUAAACUAAGUGCACUCAAAAUUAGACAGUUUGAGUUCUAUCACUACCCAGGUUUCUAGUUUUUUUAUUUUAUUUUUUUAUUUUGCUCUUUUCCAUAAACAAAGGUGACUGCGUUUCCUUGUUCAUAUGUUUAAUACAGUUCCUAAAAUUGAUAUGCUGUGUUUGUAUUAUGGAGUUGUGUUUCAUCAUUGAAAUAUUACAUUCUGCCCAAGCAAUUACUGGUGAAAGUGUAUUCUCCAUAGCCUCUGCACAGAUAUUAGUGAAAGUGAGAAUCAUAUAUUACCCUAGACCAGGGACAGGCACCUGGCGACCCCCGGGCUGCAUGCGGUCCAUGCUCUCCCUCAGAGUGGCCCCUAGAAUAUUUUUUGAAAAUGAUAAAAAUGUUUCCUCUACUGCACCAGAUCAGUUUUACAUUGUAAUAACAGAGUUCACCGCUAGAUGGGGCGUCCUAUGCAGACGCAAGAAAAUCGCGUCUUUCAGGCACAAUGGAAAUCACAUUAUCUGACCUAAGUCGCCACUAAAACACUUUGCACAAAGUUAAAUAUGAGAAGUACACUGACGCUGUCAGGGCUGCCUUGCAUCGACGAUCUCAAAUCUAAAGUACACAAACAACAGCAAUGUUUUACCAGAGCUGCAACCACACAGGAGACUGCACUCACAGCAUCUUAUGUUGAGCUGGAGCUUGCUAAAGCAAAGAAGCCCUUGUCAGAUGCCAUGGAACUGGCCAGAGCUUACGGUGAUGCUAACCAGGUUAAAAACUUUGAUACGUUCUCUUUGUGUAGUCGCACAGUGACACGUAGAAUUUUUGACAUUCACGAUCAUGUCGAGGGGAAAAUGAAACAAGUUAUGCGUGACUGCAAGUACUUCUCCCUGGCCUUGGAUGGAAGUACAGAUGUGAUGGAUGUCAGCCAGCUACUGAUUUUUACAAGGACUGUUGACGGUUCGUUUGAAGUGCAUGAGGAGUUGCUAAAAAUGGUGUCUUUGCAUGAUACCACCAAGGGCACGAACAUAUUCAGCGCCGUUAAUACUGUUGCAAACGCGUAUAGUGGCUUUGACCAGCUGUCAGCUGUUUUCACAGAUUCAACAAAGCGGAGAGUGAACUGCCUUAUACUGCGCCGUAUCAUACAUCAGGAGGCCCUCUGCGCCAAGACACUUAACUUUAGCCACGUUAUCGACUUGGUGACUAAAGUAAUAAAUCUCAUCCGAGGAGGGAACAGAUCCCUGAGUCACAGGAGAUUUUGCCUUUUUGAAUGAAGUGGAUGCCGCUUAUGGUGAUUUGCAAAUGUGAGGUCCGAUGGAUGAGUUGGGGAAAGUGUCUGCAGAGUUUUUUUUGUGCUGCGCUCCGAAAUUCCAGUCUUUUUGGAAGACGAAGUUCGUGGUGAUUACUGCAGGAAACUCAAAGACACUGCGUUUCUAUGCCACAUGGCAUUCCUUACUGACAUCAGUGCACACCUUAAUGAGCGGAACACGAAGUUGCAGGGGAGAGACCAAACUGUGACCUGUGUGUACAUGUGAAUGCAUUUCAGCGCAAAUUAGACUUGUUCAAAGAGGGAUUUUCAUACUGUCAUCCAAAUUUGGCACAUUUUCCUGCUUAUGAGGAGAUGCAAAAAAAAAAUGUCCCGAAGACUGACUUCGCAAAUAGAAGACCGAUGUCGAGAGACUGCAGGAGCAGUUAAGCAUCGUUUCCAAGAUUUUCACACAAUGCAGCCACAGAUACUUUGCGAUCUGCAGUUGGAUCCGUUUUUUUCAGGGGAGGUGCAAUGAGAAGGAGGAAUGAAAACGAGAAUUUCGUUUUGUGGGAAUUUCCCACUCCUCCGAGAUUUUGCUCUCUCAAUGAUCAGUGUGUUUGGGAGCACAUACAUCUGUGAGAGCAGUCGUUCGACAUUGAAGCACAUCAAGUCAAAAGAGAGAAACAGGCUCACGAAUGACACUCUUUUUUUUACCUGAUGUGAAUUGGAAGCACAAAGAUGGACAUUGACAUCCACUCUAUUGUGCGCCAACAGGCAAAGCCGCAUGUUUCUCAUUAAAAGAGAACCAGUCCUACUGAUUUAUGUUGGGGGUGAGGUACAACAGGUAUGCAGGGAAAAUAUGAGAGCCCUUUGUAGUGGGAAAAAAAAUCACAGUAUGUAGUUAUUUGUUUGCUUCAAACCCUUUGUUGUUGAAGAGUGGAUCUGUUAUACAUGCAUUUGAGCAUGAAAUGUAUUAAGAUACUGUGAUGUAUGUUGGUUCAAUAAACAUACAGUUUUGUUUCA